UGGUGGCUAUAGCGGAGGGGCAACACCCGUUCCCAUCCCGAACACGGAAGUUAAGUCCUCCUGCGCCGAUGGUACUGGGGCUCCUGCCCCGGGAGAGUAGGUCGCUGCCAGAAAC
rnacentral:rRNA from 1 species